rnacentral:misc_RNA from 1 species
UCGAGUUAGGGAUCCCCUCGAGGGCCCGACCUCCAACCCGGUGUUUAAACCUUACCACUGUUGCUUCGGCGGGCCCGCCCGUAACACGGCCGCUGGGGGUUCACCCCCCCGGCCCGCGCCCGCCGACAGCCCACAAACCAAAACUCUUACAAACCGUGUCAUGUCUGAAUACAAACUAUAAAUAAAGCACA